ACAAAUGGGAGUAUGGAGUGACAAGUUAGAAGCUAUGUCCACAGAUAAAUAAACAGCACAGAUUGCAAGACAGAGAAGCGCAAUCAAGAGGCAGUUAUUCUUCGUCCAUGAGAAAAAUGAAAGGGCCAGGCAGAGAAGAGUGCAUUCACUGUGCGAAAAACUUCCACUUCCACGACUGGAAGUGUGUGCCAGCCUGUGGUGAGGGGUUCUACCCAGAGGAGAUGCCGGGCUUGCCCCACAAAGUGUGUCGAAGAGUCACCAUUCUUAUUUGAUGGCCCUGGACCCUUCUGUUGUUGGACAUGAGCUGUUAAAGGAGGAGCUGUUUGCUCUGGUCUCUUCUUUUCUGGCUGAAUAUUGCCCUAUGUUGGGAGAUCAUGAACUCAGGACCCAGAACAGGGCAGGGCAACCUGUCCUAUUCAGGGUGGGAGCAACAUUGAGGAGUUUGAAGGGACCUGUGAGGGUGUGACGAUGGGGUGUGGUGAGAACUGCUUGAGCUGUGCAGGCUCCAGCAGGAACUGUAGCAGGUGUAAGACGGGCUUCACACAGCUGGGGACCUCCUGCAUCACCAACCACACGUGCAGCAACGCUGACGAGACAUUCUGCGAGAUGGUGAAGUCCAACCGGCUGUGCGAACGGAAGCUCUUCAUUCAGUUCUGCUGCCGCACGUGCCUCCUGGCCGGGUAAGGGUGUCUAGCUGCCCACAGAGGGCAGGCACUCCCAUCCAUCCAUCCGUCCGUCCACUUUCCUCCAGACUGUCGGCCAGAGUCUGUUUCAGGAGCGGCGCCCUGCACCUGACAGCUUUAUCUCGCCAGGAGCAGCAUCUCUGGGCACCCAAGCCAGGUGGGUGGUGGCUCUUAAGGAGGUGUUCCUACAAUGGUGACAUCCUCUCAAAUGCUGCUUGUUGGCUCCAGUCUUCUGACAAACUGUAACAGGAACAAAAUGAAUUCUGGGAAUCCACAGCUCUGGCUUUGGAGCAGCUUCUGGGACCAUAAGUUUACUGAAUCUUCAAGACCAAAGCAGAAAAGAAAGGCGCUUGGCAUCACACAUCACUCUUCUCCCCGUGCUUUUCUGCGGCUGUGUAGUAAAUCUCCCCGGCCCAGCUGGCAAACCCUGGGCCAUCCUCACAUGUGACAAAGGGCCAGCAGUCUACCUGCUCGUUGCCUGCCACUGAGCAGUCUGGGCACGGUUUGGUCAGACUAUAA
rnacentral:sRNA from 1 species